AGAAUCUGGAUUUUGGGGUGAAGGGUUUGGAUUUUGGGAUUUGGAUUUUGGGAUGAAGUGUUUGGAAUUUUGGGAUGAAGGAUUUGGAUUUUGGGAUGAAUUUUGGGGUGAAGGAUUUGGAAUUUGGGAUGAAUUUUGGGGUGAAUUUUGGGGUGAAGGAUUUGGAUUUUGGGGCGAAGGAUUUGGAUUUUGGGGCGAAGGAUUUGGAAUAUGGGGUGAAGAAUUUGGAUUUUGGGAUGAAGGGUUUGGAAUUUGGGAUGAAAUUUGGGGUGAAGAAUUUGGAUUUUGGGGUGAAGGAUUUGGAAUUUGAGAUGAAAUUUGGGGUGAAGGAUUUGGAUUUUGGGGUGAAGGGUUUGGGUUUUCGGAUGAAUAUUGGGAUGAAGGAUUUGGGAAUUUUGGGAUGAA
rnacentral:lncRNA from 1 species